GACGAACGCUGGCGGCGUGCCUAACACAUGCAAGUCGAGCGGAGAUUGACGGAUGGUAACUGAAGUCAAUUUUAGCGGCGGACGGGUGAGUAACACGUGGGCAACCUGCCUUAAAGAGGGGGAUAACACCGAGAAAUCGGUGCUAAUACCGCAUAACAUACAGACACCACCUGGUGACUGUAUCAAAGGAGAAAUCCGCUUUGAGAUGGGCCCGCGGCUGAUUAGCUAGUUGGUGAGGUAAUGGCUCACCAAGGCGACGAUCAGUAGCCGACCUGAGAGGGUGACCGGCCACACUGGAACUGAGACACGGUCCAGACUCCUACGGGUGGCAG
rnacentral:rRNA from 1 species